UUUUUAGGAAUUUUGACCGUCCCAACCAUUGUACAUGCUCUAAUAACCUAUAAAAAUGAAUAAAAGAAUUCAAAUAGGAAACGAAAUCCCAACCAUUGUACAUGCUCUAAUAACCUAUAAAAAAGAAUAAAAGAAUUCAAAUAGAAAACGAAGACAUUUAAGAGAAUUCGUUCUAUUUAAUAGUUAGUGAUUGU
rnacentral:sRNA from 1 species